UUACACAGCAGAUACUGAAGCUGUAAACAGUAAAUUCAUACUUACGAUGUUAGAAAAAUAAGAUUCUGAUUAUGAAACAAAAGGUUGUUUUCAGUUGAAGAAGUAAAUAAUAGUAAGAAUAAGGAAUUUUGCAAAAGCCAAGCCUUCAGAUGGUCAGAUAAAGUACCUGAUGCUGAAAAACAGGAAAUUGAAUCAUGUCUCCAAAAUGUGCCUUUUGUCAUGCACUGUUACAGCUAUAUUUCUUGGAUGUGAAUCCUGCCAGAUUGUGGCAUGGCACUCAACUCCUCAAAGAAGCCAUUGAGUUCCAGUCAGGCACUGCGAGAAUUGCAGAAGAAAUCUCAAACUUGGCCCCUGCCUCCAAGAAGCUGACAAUGGCUCUUUAGGCCUUAAUGAUUGACAUGAUCUUGGAAAACAGGUAUGUAGCAAAACUCUCCUAGAAACCUGAAAGAUGUGGCAAGAAGAAAACAUGGAGCCUUUUCUGAACAAGCCUAUGAGAGAAGAAGAAUCACUUCAAUUUAUUAAGUGUGGAUUCUGGGGCUAAAGAACUUACCUACAACCACACAGCCAGCAAAUUACUGACCCAGCAUAUUCUGAACCCAGGUCUUUAUUCUUUCCAAAACUUCACAGCACCUUCCUCAGAGCAUCUCUACAUGAAAAUCUGUAUAAAGAAGUGAUCUGUGGUGUCGCCAUUUGUAUCAAAAUGGUAUCACAAACUUAUUUAAAAGGCUUCAUCUAAAAGUCUUCAGAGUUUUGGCCAGGGAAGAGCUCUAAUAUCACACAUUAAUAACCUUACCUUUGUAACAUGUAAAUUGUUUUUUGUUUUAACAUCUCAGUUUCAUUAAACUGAGACC
rnacentral:lncRNA from 1 species